UGGGGAAUAUUGCGCAAUGGGGGAAACCCUGACGCAGCGACGCCGCGUGUGGGAUGAAGGUCUUCGGAUUGUAAACCACUGUCGCGAGGGACGAAGCUCUGACGGUACCUCGAAAGGAAGCACCGGCUAACUCUGUGCCAGCAGCCGCGGUAAUACAGAGGGUGCGAGCGUUGUCCGGAAUUACUGGGCGUAAAGCGCGGGCAGGCGGUCUGUUAAGUCGUUUGUGAAAAUCCGGGGCUCAACCCCGGAAAUGCAUACGAUACUGGCAGGCUGGAGACUGGUAGAGGCUAGCGGAAUUCCUGGUGUAGCGGUGGAAUGCGUAGAUAUCGGGAGGAACACCUGUGGCGAAGGCGGCCACCUGGUUGGAUACUGACGCUGAGACGCGAAAGCGUGGGGAGCAAACAGGAUUAGAUACCCAUGUAGUCCCUGAGCGGGCUGGCAAGGCGCAU
rnacentral:rRNA from 1 species